rnacentral:rRNA from 1 species
UACGUAGGGGGCAAGCGUUGUCCGGAAUUAUUGGGCGUAAAGCGCGCGCAGGCGGUUCAUUAAGUUGGGUGUUUAAUCCCGGGGCUCAACCCCGGUUCGCAUCCGAAACUGGUGGACUUGAGUGUAAGAGAGGAAAGUGGAAUUCCACGUGUAGCGGUGAAAUGCGUAGAGAUGUGGAGGAACACCAGUGGCGAAGGCGAACUUUCGUGGCUUAGUAACUUGACG